ACCAGCCAGUCAUAUUUCCUUUUAUUUCCUGUGUUAAUUAAACAGGUGACUAUGAUUGUCAUGGAAGGUAUGAAGGAGGUAUAGCUAUGAUUUCUCACAUGGCUAUGGGGGAUAAUCAUGAUCAUAAUUAUGCUCAAAUGUAAUUGUCUCAUUCUUAUCCUUUUUGUAGUGUAAAGUAUAAAAAUAAAGAUCUAUAAAUAUGUCAGACAAAUUAUAUACAAUGGGUGAUCACUUGGUAAGUAAUUUUUAUACCUUUGUUGUGGUCUGUGUAGAUUGAGGCUAUUUUGGCAACAGCCAUGCACUUAGACAUAUAGCAUGACCAGUCCAUAUGUGGACUGCCUAUGUCCAUUAAACAUGAUUGAAUACCCAAAUUAGAUUCAAGAUUAUGAUAUGUCCCAGGCAUGGAUGGAUCCAAAAAUGACCAUGUACUGAAGUUAUAUGGCAUGACCCAUGUAAAAUAUGGUGGGAAACAUACAAUAUUGGGGCUGCAUCCCACAAUAUUAAAACAUUGCAAAGGUCCAUUUUGUAAAUUAAUGGCAUUAUGUAUUUAAUCUUAAUUUAUAGGGCCUGUGAGUUCAUAUCUGGAAUAAAAUAAUGGCAGAUCUACAGAACUAUAACUGCCAAGUCAGUGUCAAACAAGUUCUGCAGGAGGACUGAAACUGGAUGUUCUCAGGAUGAAAAAGAAAUUGUUGACUUUAAUUGAAUAAUCAUUAUCAUUAAUGUAAG
rnacentral:lncRNA from 1 species